rnacentral:rRNA from 1 species
CCUACGGGGGGCAGCAGUGGGGAAUAUUGCACAAUGGGGGAAACCCUGAUGCAGCAACGCCGCGUGAGUGAAGAAGUAUUUCGGUAUGUAAAGCUCUAUCAGCAGGGAAGAAGCAAGACGGUACCUGACGAAGAAGCACCGGCUAACUACGUGCCAACAGCCGCGGUAAUACGUAGGGGGCAAGCGUUAUCCGGAUUUACUGGGUGGAAAGGGAGCGUAGACGGUGUUGCAAGUCUGAGGGGAAAGCCCCGGGCUUAACCCUGGGACUGCGGUGGAAACUGUUAGACUAGAGUGCUGGAGAGGUAAGUGGAAUUCCUGGUGUAGCGGUGAAAUGCGUAGAUAUUAGGCGGAACACCAGUGGCGAAGGCGUCUUACUGGACAGUAACUGACGUUGAGGCUCGAAAGCGUGGGGAGCAAACAGGAUUAGAUACCCCGGUAGUC